GAAGAGAGAGUUCAAGAGUACGUGAAACUGCUCAGAGGUAAACGGGUGGGCCCUCGAAAUCCUUCCGCGGAGGGAUUCAGUCGGAAUCGGCAGGUUCCGGCGCCGCGGACUACGGACCUCGUAGGCCGGGCGGAGCCGGAGAACCGAAGAGUCCGACGCACUUCCCUCCGCGCCACGGACGCCGCAACCGGUCGGGUAGCAGCGAGAGUCGGCCAUGAGGGUCCCCGCCGGCAGGUGGCCGGGGAACCUGCCCCGGCAGAGUUUCCCGGUCGUUAGCCAGGGGACGCCGCGGCGCGACACCCGACCGAGGCCGAGGUUCGCCUCGAGGCGAACCAGCCGUGCCCUGAAUCAGCGGGGCCCGCGUCACGCGCGUCGCCGAGGAGAAGCGUCACUCCGAGAGUGGUCGGCUCCCGGCGGACGCGGCUGGACGGGGCGCGCCCGCGGUCAGGCACCCACGGUUGGCGGCGAGCAGGUCGGUCACCCACCCGACCCGUCUUGAAACACGGACCAAGGAGUCUAACAUGUGCGCGAGUCACGGGGUCUUGCCCAGGCCCAGGGGCGCAAUGAAAGUGACAGCAUAAAUCGUCGGGACUCCGGCCCCGGAGCUCGGAAGCACCGACGGCCCGUCCGAACCGCCGCGCGCGGUCGGGCGGAGUCGGAGCGCACACGUUGGGACCCGAAAGAUGGUGAACUAUGCCCGGGCAGAACGAAGCCAGAGGAAACUCUGGUGGAGGUUCGCAGCGGUUCUGACGUGCAAAUCGAUCGUCAGACCCGGGUAUA
rnacentral:rRNA from 1 species